GACGAACGCUGGCGGCGUGCUUAACACAUGCAAGUCGAACGAGUGGCGAACGGGUGAGUAACACGUGGGAACCUACCCAUCAGAGGGGGAUAACACUUGGAAACAGGUGCUAAUACCGCAUAGUGAUGGAUGAACCCGCGGUGCAUUGGCUAGUUGGUGGGGUAACGGCGUCCCUAGGCGACGAUCCCUAGCUGGUCUGAGAGGAGGAUCAGCCCCACUGGGACUGGACCACGGCCCAGGCUCCUACGGGAGGCAGCAGUGGGGAAUAUUGCACAAUGGGCGCAAGCCUGAUGCAGCCAUGCCGCGUGUAUGAAGAAGGCCUUAGGGUUGUAAAGUACUUUCAGCGGGGAGGCGUUACCCGCAGAAGAAGCACCGGCUAACUCCGUGCCAGCAGCCGCGGUAAUUC
rnacentral:rRNA from 1 species